UACGGGGGGUGCGAGCGUUGUCCGGAAUCACUGGGCGUAAAGGGCGCGUAGGUGGUCUGAUAAGGGUGUGGUGAAAGUCCGGGGCUCAACCCCGGAUCUGCCGUGCGACUGUCAAGCUCGAGGACUGUAGAGGCAGGCGGAAUUCCGGGUGUAGCGGUGGAAUGCGUAGAGAUCCGGAGGAAGACCGGUGGCGAAGGCGGUCUGCUGGGCAGUUUCUGACACUGAGGCGCGACAGCGUGGGGAGCAAACAGG
rnacentral:rRNA from 1 species